rnacentral:lncRNA from 10 species
CGCCGCUAGCGCCUCAAUCGCGCGGAGAAUUGAAUCCCUCCACUUCUACUUUCCAGGUCCCCGGACCCUGGGCUUUGAGGGAAAUCCCUCCGCUCGCACCCCUUACUCCAGUCCUCCCAGGUGGCCAAUCGUUGGUCGGGGGAGGAGGUGCGGAGCUGAGGGUUGGGUAGUAAUUUCUGCCAAUCAGCUCUUAGAGGCCAAGGCGGGGAAACUGCGGGGAGGGGAGGAGAUAGAGGCGCAACAGGUUGUCCUGGAAGUGAGGGAAGAAGUGGCCAGGAGUUGCCCACCCCUGCUUGCGCUACUCUCUGGGCUGCUAUUAAUAGAUCUGGUACUCCUGCAGAGGAGCCGGAACACACUGCUGUGCUGGGUUCACUUCAUCUGCCGGCGACCGAGGGUUACCCAUUUUAGCCACCCCCACCCCUCCGCCCUAGUCAAUGAAAUCCCGCGCAGGGCAUGGCCAUUUCCCAAGGAAACUUGCAAACCCAGGGGAAAGUUAGACGCAAUGCUUUUUGAGUUUGAAGCGAAACCCAGAGCGUUUGAGAAGAAAUUCUGGGGCAUAUUUGCAAAAGGACAGCUGGAAUUAAAAGCCAUAGCUAGAGCAGGUUGCACUCCAGCCCAGCCCCCUUCGGCGCGCCCAGACGCUGCCUUCUCCUCGUGAAUUACAAUGGGCACAGUCCUCCGAUUGUGGCAUCAAAACCAUGGUUUGACCAUAAACACAAAACUUCAUCGAUUUCAGAGCAGCACUGAGGGGUGAGGACAAACAGCUACGGACUCAUUAACCAAGAGUAACAAGAUGUUUAGCUGGGCACAUGGCCACUCAAAAUGAAGACUUCAUUCUUGGCCUGCCUUGCAGGAAGAUAUGGCCACGUGACUGAGAUCUGGCCUAUGGAAUGUGAAUAGAAAUAUAUUGCACCUCCCCCUUUCUUCUUCUUCUGAUCAUUUUAUCCAGUUUCUUGGAACUUGGAUCGGCUGCUGAAACUCCAUCUCAUAUUAUGAGGGGAAAGGCCAUAGUCCACUAGAGUUACUGGUAUAGGAAGCUGGAAAAAGCCUGUGUCCCCAAGGAAUUUUUUGAGCAACGCUAUCAUGUCACUCCUGGAUUGACUGCCUACAAGACAUUUUUAAAUGUGAGAUAAAUAAACCUUCAUAUUUUUAAUCAACUAUUUUUUUCUUCUUUUACUUGAAGCAGUAUUUUAUUCUAACUAAAACAAAUUAAGAACUAAAAUUUAGUAAACCUAAGGUAUUUCAUUGCAUCAAAAAACUUAUGAAAUAAUUUAACACUGUAAUUAUCGAACAUAAAUAGAUAAGCUAACAAAAGGAUAUGUAGGAUGACAAAAUGAACUCAUCCAGCAGUUUCAAAAAUCAUGUCAGUCUUUAAUUUUUUAAAUUUGAACUAUGCUAUACAUAGAAUAUAAUAUACAUAAUUGCACAUGUACAAUUUUUAAAAAUUAGGAUGAAAUGAGCACCUAUAUGACCACUGCUAAAAUUAACAAAUAAAGCACCCACUCUCAGUAUCUUUAGAGCCUUCUGUGUACUCCUCACUAAUACAUCCCUCUCCUUGGUCUAUAUCCCAAAUGUAACUGCUUCCCCAGCUUUGUGUUAAUCAAUCACAUAUUCUGCAAUGUAUUUUUAUCUGCAAGUAACAUCAGAAAAGUUUGUUUAGAAUUCGUUGUUUUUUAGCAUGACAUAAAUUGAGUCAUAUCAGUGCUUUAAUUUUAAUAUUGAACGAGAAAAAAUACAACAUUGACUAAUUCAAGUUUGAUAUUCCCACGGAAUGUUUGGGCACCAUAGACCCACCAAAAGUUUUCCCAAGAAUGAAUGAGUCUUAAGAUUCCUUAAGAUCCCAGUUGCAACAUUCUUCAAAUAAUAGUUAUUGAUUAGUGUAAACAACUCCUCAUCUGCACUCUGAAUUAUAAGGGAUUUUGAUUUGAACCAUUUCGAUUGAGCCUAUAUAAAUUUGCUGUAAAUCAUGAGAGUAUGCUCUAAAGAUAUUUCAUCAUAGCUUAUAUAUCAUUUUUUUCUUUGUCAGAAUUGAAGGCAAGGCUGAAUAAUUAUAAUCAUGUUUAUAUUUAAAUCCAGAAAUAUUACUUUCUCUAUCAUUAUGAAACUAGUGGUUUAACAUGUUUAUUAAUGAUUUCACCCAAAAGACACUUCAAAACAGACAUUAUUGCUACUUGUUUAGUUUUAAUCUUCCAAGAUAAUGACAUAUAUGUUCUGCCAUAAUUUUUGUCUAAUUUUUGUACCCAUUUGUAUCUUUCUUAAUUGCCUAAUUAAAAGAGUGUAACGCAGGUUUUAUAAGUUGAAUUAUUGCUGAGAUACCUUAUGCUUACAAUAUUAUGUGUGUGUGUAUGAAUUUCUAAUCUGUGUCAGGUCAUAAUCAUUUCAGUUUCAAUGAGUUAGGAGUGACAGCUGCUUAGGAAACAACUUGUUUCUAUUAAAGCUAGCAUAUUUGUCAUUAGAGUAAGGAUCUCUUUGGCAGUUUAUUUUGUAUUGUUAAUAAUUAUCAUUAUUUUGACUAUAGGGCAUUUAAUUUCCACAUUUAACAUUUGGUACUGUUAUGUAAGCAACUGACUCAUAAAAUAAAAUCCAAACUGUCAACAUUUUUGCAAUCAUAGGGAGGACAAGUAAGCAAAUUAGAUGAAUACAAGACCUAAAUUAAGGGGCAUGUGAAUCAUACAGAAUUUAUUAAUAAGAAUGUGGAUGAACUAUAGCACUUCAUUCUAUAUUGAUGCUGAAUUAGAGUUCAUUUGACUUAUGGUAGUUACUAAAAUGUCCUUUUUCUUUUUUAUUAAAAAUGGGGAUAUCAACCAUUUUAUUUAUUUUAAUGUUGUGUAUGCCUGGGAGUAAGAAAACAUGUAUAAAAUAUGGUACACAUGGUGACGACUGAGGGCGGAAGCAUGGUUAUCACUGUCUGCAACAUAUCCAUUGUUGUCCCAGCAAUCUUGAUCUGACUGACAUAUUAUAAGAGAAUUACUCAAAUGGCUACAAGUUACAAACCAAUUAGUUUGGGUUAUUAUAAUGAGUCCUCAGCCACAGACAAUUAGAUGCCCCCUUUUCUGUAUAGAUCCCUGAUAUUCUAAAAGCCUGAAAGCUGCUGUGGAGCAUUCGCUAUCCUUCCCACAUUUGAAUGAAAUAAAUUGAUCACAGAAAUAUCCUGUGAUGUACCCUAAGAGAAAGAGCCCUCCUAUCAGACACCCUGGGUUUUAACCCGAACUCUGUCAUUUAUUUUAAAAAGCUGUGUAAUCUUCAGAUAUUUGUUUAAGUUCUUCAUGCCUCAGUCUUUUCAUCAGCAAAGUGGGAAAAAAUAGUAAUAUUUGAUAGGGUUGCUGUGUGGACGAAAUGAGAAAACACAUUCUAAGCCCUUAGAAAAAAGCUUAGCAUAUUAUAAGCACUAAAAAACUCAGUUUUACUAUCAUCCUAAGUGACAUUUACAAUUUCUAGAUAAUUAAAUGAGUCUAGAAUCGUUUUACUUAAAGUACCAAAGAAAAUCACAGGCAGAUGUGGGUACAAGUGCCCCAGAGUCCACGGUCUUAAAUUGACACCUUCUCUAUCUUAUUUCUGAGAACAAAAUUUUAAAUUCCUCAAAAUAUGCCACAAGAAUUAUGGCAUUGGACAUCUAAAAAUUGAGCUGUAUCCAUAUUUUGCUCAUGUAGGACCAGAAAAACUUUAUAAAUAUUUUGGCUCUAACAAUUUUUUCAGAGUGCUGGGGCAGACCUAUGUCUUAGCCAUUUUUGUACACACGGGAUUAGCCCAUCUUACAGAUAGUGGGCACUCAAAAAAUGUUGGUUGAAUGGGUAAUUUCUUAGUUUUGGUCUGUCUGCUCUGCAAGACGAUUCCUGAUCUGAAGGCAUUUCUCAAUCCUCAUCCCAUUGUCCCGCAAUUUAUUGGGUCAAGCUCUACGUAUGUAGAAAAUGGCCAUAAUUUUUACAUUUCUUAUUCUCGUCUAUAUCAAAAUCCUGAAUUUCUCCA